GGGACGACUCAGUACCAGAACGUGAGACAGCAAGGCAGUGUGUUCAAAGGGUGCCAUAAACUGUUGCUUUAUUUAAUGUGGGACGACACAGCACCAGACGUCAGACACCAAGGCACUGUUCAAAGGGUGCCAUAAACUGUUGCUUUAUUUCAUGUAUUGUCGCAGAACAAGACAGUGACAGGGGCCGUGGCUGCCUGCUUGUGCUGGUUCAAGCUUGGUGCCUGCCGGGAGGUGCCUACAGGGCCACCAAGGCUAAUAUUGAUACAAAUGUAGAGGGACAAAAGAGAAAUGCAGGAAGACCACCACCACCAGCACAGUGGAAGAAAGGUGUGAGGACGCAACAAUCAACACUGUCGACAAAGCAGACGACAUAGACACUCGUAUGUUCUACACCCAUUUUGGCACACCACAGUUUGGUGCAUGGACAGCCUGGGUGUGCUGGGUCGGCCUGACAAUGUUCGCAAUGCUCAAGCUAUGCAAGUACCACCAGCAGGAGAAUAUUCGGGUGUCAAUGGCCAGGGAACGGGCUCGCCUAGUCUCUGAUCGACACUCUCAGAUCAGCGGAUGAUCGGAUGGUUCUUGGCCGGACAACUGCUGAGUCUUCCUGUCAAAUUUAUAAGCUUGAGAUUAUUUUCCUGUUGAUUUUCCUCUCUCAGGUUUUUUUUCCUAUUCUUGUUUUUUUUUUUCCUCUCAGAUUUUUUCCUCUUCUUAUUUAUUUAUUUUUUUUCUGCUUCCAUUUUUGUUUUUCUGUCAAAUUGCACCUGUUUUUUUUUUCUUCUUUUUUUCCCCUCUUGUUUUCCUAUUGAGUUUUUCUGUCUCUACUGUCCACCUUCCUAGCUCUCUAUCUUUUUUUUUUCUUUUCUUUUUUUUGGUGUGUGUGUGUGUGUGUGUGUGUGUUUGUAUACAUAGAUGUACAUAGUUGAGUUAUAUCCUGGAGAUGUGUGUGUGUGUGUGUGUGUGUGUGUGUGUGUGUGUGUGUGUGUGUGUGUGUGUGUGUGUGUGUGUGUGUGUAAGAGAGAGAGAGUGUUUUCAUCUCUCUCUCUCUCUCUCUCUCUCUCUCUCUCUCUCUCUCUCUCUCUCUCUCUCUCUCUCUCUCUCUCUCUCUCUCUCUCUCUCUCUCUCUCUCUCUCUCUCUCUCUCUCAUAUUUGAACAAGUAAACACAUCUUAGUUUUUCACAUUGCACUUAGAAAAACACACACACACACUUAGUAUCACUGGCAUAAGUAGGUCUAUUUUUUUUUUUUUUUUUUCAUCACGUAGGCUUAAUGAAAACGUGAAAAGCUUUAAGUUGUUAAGUAGGUGAUGUAAAGUAUGUUGGUCGUAACUUAAGACCUCCUAUCCUUUUUUUUUGUAUACCUACCUAUUUUUUCACCUACCUAUUUUUACCUACCUAUUCUAUACCUACCUAUUUUUUUCUAUAUGAACAAGUUAUUAGUUAAUUUUAAAGCUAUUUUUUUUCUCAUUUCACUUGCAUUAUUCUCUCUCUCUCUCUCUCUCUCUCUCUCUCUCUCUCUCUCUCUCUCUCUCUCUCUCUCUCUCUCUCUCUCUCUCUCUCUCUGUAUCUAUCAUUAAAGAACAUAUAAACUCAUUAAUUCACUGGGUAUUAUCAAUAAGUUUUAGAUUAAAUAUUAUAAUUACUAGCUCUAGGUUUAUUUAUGUAACAGAGAGAGAGAGAGAGAGAGAGAGAGAAUGUACGUUUGUGUGUGUGUGUGUGUGUGUGUGUGUGUUUGUGUAUAAUCAUAUUCGCAUAUAUAAAUAUUUGAAGAGAUAAAUAAGAUGCAGAUUUUGUCCAUUGUAUAGCUAAGUAAUGAGGUCCUACAUACAUACAUACAUACACAUUGCAUAUACUCACUAUAACCGUGUUCCAUUCCAGGCAGUUAGUGAAAAAAAUAUAUCUAUUGCUGUACCCUUUGUAUAUGUAUGUUUAAAUAAUGUAUUGGUUAU